rnacentral:rRNA from 1 species
GACGAACGCUGGCGGCGUGCUUAACACAUGCAAGUCGAACGGAAAGGCCCUGCUUUUGUGGGGUGCUCGAGUGGCGAACGGGUGAGUAACACGUGAGUAACCUGCCCUUGACUUUGGGAUAACUUCAGGAAACUGGGGCUAAUACCGGAUAGGAGCUCCUGCUGCAUGGUGGGGGUUGGAAAGUUUCGGCGGUUGGGGAUGGACUCGCGGCUUAUCAGCUUGUUGGUGGGGUAGUGGCUUACCAAGGCUUUGACGGGUAGCCGGCCUGAGAGGGUGACCGGCAACAUUGGGAUGGAGAUACGGCCCAGACUCAGACGGGAGGAAGAAGGGGGGAAUAUUGCACAAGGGGCGGAAGCCUGAUGCAGCAACGCCGCGUGCGGGAGGACGGCCUUCGGGUUGUAAACCGCUUUCGCCUGUGACGAAGCGUGAGUGACGGUAAGGGGUAAAGAAGCACCGGCUAACUACGUG